rnacentral:rRNA from 1 species
AUUGAACGCUGGCGGCAGGCCUAACACAUGCAAGUCGAACGAGUGGCGGACGUGUGUGUAACGUUUGGGAAUCUGCCUUAUGGAGGGGGAUAACUACGGGAAACGGUCGCUAAUCCCGCGUACCAUAGGAUGAGCCCAAGUGGGAUUAGGUAGUUGGUGGGGUAAAGGCUCACCUAGUCGACGAUCUCUAGCUGGUCUGAGAGGAUGACCGGCCACACCGGAACUGAGACACGGCCCGGACGCCUACGGGAGGCAGCAGUGGGGAAUAUUGCGCAAUGGGGGCAAGCCUGACGCAGCCAUGCCGCGUGAAUGAAGAAGGCCUUCGGGUUGUAAAGUUCUUUCAGUGGGGAGGCGUUACCCACAGAAGAAGCACCGGCUAACUCCGUGCCAGCAGCCGCGGUAAUAC